CGCCUGUUUAUCAAAAACAUUUCCUAUUUUCCCUUAUAUUAGGUAAGCCCUGCCCAGUGAAUAUUUAACGGCCGCGGUAUCCCUGACCGUGCGAAGGUAGCAUAAUCAUUUGCCUCUUAAUUAGUGGCUAGUAUGAAUGGGUAAACACAGUUAUAGCUUUUUAUAAGUCUGAAACAAAAAUUAGAAUUUCAGUGAAAAUACUGAAAACAACAGAAAGACAAAAAGACCCUAUCGAGCUAUAUUUUAAACCCUUUAUAAUUUGUUGGGGCAACAAAGGACUAAUCCAAACAUCCUUACUAACUUAUCUUUAUAGACGAAAGAAAAAAAGAAAGAAAAGCUACCGUAGGGAUAACAGACUUAUUUUUUCUGAGAGUUCAAAUUGACGAAAAAGAUUAGCACCUCGAUGUUGGCUCAGGAUUACUUGUACGUGCAGCAGUGUACAAAGUAGGUUUGUUCACCCUUUAAUUUCCUACGUGAUCUGAGUUCAGACCGGA
rnacentral:rRNA from 1 species